AGCACUAGUACAAAACCCACAAACUUAGCCUACCUUUCUCUCUUUGGCUCGCAUAGUAUUCCACGCCUGCUUGGAGCCAUUUUCAUCUCUCUCUUAUCUCUCGCUCUCUCUCUCGAUGGGUUCAGCCUCUCAAGCAAAUCUUCUCCUCCAAAAACAGCUCAAAGAUCUAUGUAAAAGACCACUGGAUGGCUUUUCUGCUGGUUUGGUUGAUGACAGCAAUAUCUAUGAAUGGAGUGUAACUAUUAUUGGACCUCCCGAUACUCUUUAUGACGGGGGCUAUUUUAAUGCAAUUAUGAGCUUUCCGCCGAACUACCCAAAUAGUCCUCCAUCAGUGAGGUUUACGUCUGAGAUGUGGCAUCCCAACGUAUAUUCUAAUGGGAAGGUUUGUAUAUCAAUUUUACAUCCUCCUGGCGAGGAUCCAAAUGGUUACGAGCUUGCAAGUGAGCGCUGGACACCCGUCCAUACUGUCGAGAGUAUACUAUUAAGUAUCAUUUCAAUGCUUUCUAGUCCGAAUGAUGAGUCUCCUGCCAAUAUUGAUGCUGCAAAACAGUGGAGAGAUAAGAAAGAUGAAUUCAAAAAAAAAGUCAGUAGGUGUGUCAGAAAAUCACAGGAGAUGUUUUGAUCUUAUGAAGGACAUUGUCUUACCAGUAAGUGAAGACUGCUUGCUACUGAUGCCUAGGUGGUGUGAUUAUUUUGGAUAGCCAACCGGAUAUCUGAAAUUAUGCUCUGGUUUGAAGUUUGUUAUGUUCUUCUCUUUUCAUUGGCAUUGGUAGAUAAGUUGAAGACUCUCCUGUCCUAUGUAAAACUGAUGUUGUAUUAACUGACCUAAAAAAUUUGAAUGAGCAAAUGUAGCUUAUUCAUGAAAGACCUAAUGAAAUCGUGUGUGUUGUUUGGAACUUCCUGGUGUGAGUCAAUGGGAAGGAAACAUUAAACUUCUGGUGA